UACGGAGGGUGCAGGCGUUAUCCGGAUUUAUUGGGUUUAAAGGGUGCGCAGGCGGGCUUAUAAGUCAGUGGUGAAAUCCUACAGCUUAACUGUAGAACUGCCAUUGAUACUGUAGGUCUUGAGUCUGGUUGAGGUAGGCGGAAUGUGUCAUGUAGCGGUGAAAUGCUUAGAGAUGACACAGAACACCGAUUGCGAAGGCAGCUUACUAAACCAGUACUGACGCUGAGGCACGAAAGCGUGGGGAGCGAACAGG
rnacentral:rRNA from 1 species